rnacentral:tRNA from 1 species
GGCGGCAUGGCCGAGUGGUAAGGCGGGGACUGCAAAUCCUUUUCCCCAGUUCAAAUCCGGGUGCCGCCU